GGAGAUGUAGCUCAGUGGUAGGGUGCAUGCUUAACAUGCAUGAGGUCCUGGGUUCGAUCCCCAGUACCUCUA
rnacentral:tRNA from 1 species